rnacentral:rRNA from 1 species
UACAGAGGUCCCAAGCGUUGUUCGGAUUCAUUGGGCGUAAAGGGUGCGUAGGCGGCCAACUAAGUCGGAUGUGAAAUCCCCAGGCUCAACCUGGGAACUGCAUCCGAUACUGGAUUGCUUGAAUUCGGGAGAGGGAUGCAGAAUUCCAGGUGUAGCGGUGAAAUGCGUAGAUAUCUGGAGGAAUACCGGUGGCGAAGGCGGCAUCCUGGACCGACAUUGACGCUGAGGAGCGAAAGCCAGGGGAGCAAACGGG